rnacentral:lncRNA from 1 species
GACUAUCCUUUAAUGAUGUCUACAUCAGUGGGGGAUACCAAUAAGAUCUAAAAGCUGAGGAAGAGAAAAAGCCAAGCCACACUGCUAACUGAUGAGAGACCAACUUGAAAGAGGGAGGACCUGCCAAUUGCCAGCAGCACAACUCCAGAUAUAUGGGAAUCAGCUUUAGGGCAAAAACCGGGGAUCACAGAAUGCUUGCUCAAUCAACUUUGCUCAUCCAAAAUCACAAAAAUCGCCUCAAAAAAUGUUGACUGUAAUUUAAUUUUCUUCACUCUCCAUGAAGAUGUUAGAUAAUGCUCACUCUGGGUGAGAAUAAAAGCCAG